AAAAAAAAAAGGAGGAGAGGGGGGCUGCGGAAAGGAAGGGAGAAAGAAAACAAAAACAAAAAAAGAAACAUUACACGGACAGGGACACGGAUCGGCCGAGGUACUGGACGUGUGGCCCUCAUCCUGGCCAUAGGUGCUGUUGCAGUUACUCCUAAUUUAUGCAAGUAAACCCAUUAAAGUGCAUGAGGUUUCUCAUGCAAUCAGAUAAUUGUACUAGUAAUGAAGUCUCACCCCUGCGGCCCUCUUGAAAUGAAUUUGAACUCCAUUUGAAUCUGCAAGUAUCUGCUCAGAAGUGGAUCUAGCUGAAGGUUUGCAGCCCACUUGAAGUCUCUCUACCUACUACGUCUACAGGAACCUGGACAGUGCUCAGAAGAGCGUAGCAGAAGUAGUAUUGAACUGAAACUGAUUCUUGCUAAUAAGUACUUUGGCUUUUACCCUGUCAUGAUUCGUGGAAGGAGAUAUGAAGUAACAAGUGUAAGACGUUUCUACGUGGCCAAGCAUUAUAUACCUAUACUGGCAUAAUUACAUCACUAUACUUACACCAGUAGAUUUACACCCGUCUAUGAAGUUCUAGUUACGGUAUUCAACUCAUUUUAAAAUACCAGGCAAAACUGAGGCCCAGAGAACUUAAGGCCCUGCAAAUUAUAAUAACAAUUUCAGCAGAUGAACAGUAGCCCUGGACUUACCCACCUGCCCACUGGGGUGUGUCAUGAGUCUGAAGACACCGAACCGGAAUGGCUUGCCCAAGGUCACAGGAGGAGCAUGAUGGCAGUGGUAAAAAAUACUCAGUUUGAUGGCUGCUUCCCAAGGUGGAGAGGACAGGCAGCUACAGGCUUUGAGAUGCUACAAAAUGCGAGCUUCCGCUUCCAGCUGGUACUUUAUCUUUCUACUCUGACUACUAGUGAAGAGCUAUUUCUACAGCAAUCUGAUUGACAAAUUGAUUAGAAGUUGGGAGAACGUGGCACUACAUUUCAAGAAGAAGCCUGUAAUUUAGAAGUCUUCAAGAAACUGAUUAAGGGCAGUUUUCAGAGUUCUGACUCAGUGGCGGGCAAGUACUACUUACAGGCCUGAUGUAAAGCCUAGUGAAGUCAACUGGAAAGUUUCCAAUGACUUCAUUAGAUUUUGGAUUGGGUCUGAAGUGCAGCAAUUUAUUCAACUCUGGAGCAUAAAUUAUGGACAUAAAACCCGAAUUAUUUGUGUGUCGCUGGAUUACUGACAGCAAAAUGUGUGAUGUCAGAAAAAUAAUAGGCAGAGAGAGCCUGCACAAGUUGGAAAAGCUUAAUAUAUAGCCAAAGAUAGGGGAAUACUCUUUGGCAAGAAUAGAGACAGUUUCAGUUCCAGUGCCGAUGGAAGAAAGUUGAGUAAUUUGACAGAUAAUUAUGUGAGAAGACGCUAUCUGUCUCACUCACCACUCUGCUGCCUGAUCAUUGGACUAGUAUCUGGAUGAGCUGACAGUCUGCUAUCACAGCAGGAAGAGCCCUGAAUCUGUAGCAACUGAUGGAAACCCCUUUGGAAAUGUGAAGAAUUCCAGCGGCCCAAACUCAGAGCAGAGCCGGACAGUGUCAACCAAACACAUCAGCCACAUCAGUUGCCAGAGUGAGUGUGUCAAUGCUGAAGAGAACUGAAUGUGAAUGUUACUUAAGCAACAAGAAAACAAACAACCUCCACCUGCAACACAACAUUUUGUUUUAGAGGAUGAUGUCCCAAAUAUUGUUUUUCCUAAAUUUCAGACUGUAUGUCUUGAUGAGUUAGGAGUGCUACAAGUAUCUAGGUACUUGUUUCAAUCAAAACUUAAUUAAUUUCCCUUUGUUUGAAAACCUCAGAAUGCCAACAUUUUGCCCUAGAUACCCCAGAGAAACUUACCAAAAUAUUUGUUAGAAAAUGGCCAUUUGGUUGAACAAACUUUUCUCGGGUGAUUAUUUUAUUUCAGCAUACAAUAGUCCGGUUAUUGAAGAGUAAUUCUAUUUUGUAAAAAGAUUUGUUAUUUUGGAAUAAACGAGUUUUUUUUUCUGGAAGAGCCUAUCCAAGCAAAAGCUGCUAUCCGGGAGUAGUUCAUGAUGAAACAGCUUUGUCAAUUCACUUAUAAAGCUGUGUAAAACCUUAGUAUUCAAAUAUUGAUUUCUCCCAGAUCAGGAGUAUUUAUAGCUUUUAGAAUUUGGUUCAGGUUAUUCUUUAGCUAGGCAUACAUAUCUUCAGCUUCAUCUUAUUAGCAAAUCAGAAAGGAUUUUUAGUUAGAGAGGUAAUUACAUAAGUUCACGGUUUAAGCAUGUUAAAAGAAAUACAAAAUCAGAAUUUAAUGUGAGUAAAAUACCUUUACCUGGGUUGGUCCUGUUACAUUGUAAGCAACAGAACUGGAAGAUGCACACACACUGUUCAUAAAGUUAAUGUGCAAAAUAACAUUAUAAUGUUAAAAAGAUACAAAGAUGCAAGUUAAACUUUAAAAUAAUAAGGUGUAUAUCUCCAGUUAACAAUUUUUGUCUUAUAUUAACUUAUAUGCACAAUUUAUUAAUACAGUAGUAUAUACUGAUUUUUCAAUAAAUGUUUUGCCAUUAGAAGCCCUCUCCAUCUCCCAAAGGCAAACAAAACACCAUUUGAAUGAGUAAAAAAAGCAUUUUAGCAUUCCUUUUCUCUUGAAGUUUUGCCAUAUUUGGACUCCCUUUGUUUUCACAAAUUGUUUUCACAAUCAAAACAGGGAUGCACAGGGAAAUUGGACAGGCAAGUGGAAAAUAAAAGCCAAGGCUUUUUUUUUUUAUUAUUAAACCAGAUGACACAGCAACGAAUGCAGAUAAGGUAAUGGACAAACACACCUUUCCUCAGAUCACACCUUUGCCUUAAAGUAUGGCCAUUUUUUACCACUAUAUCAGUACAAUAACACAUUCUCCUCACAAACCUUUCCUUGUUUACUGCCUCAUGUUGCCAUGGUCAUAUGAAUACUAUCCACGCUGGAACAAAAAAAAAUGGGAAAGGAAAAAGGGUACCAAGAAUAAACUCUUGCAAUAAUACUUGGAACAAAAAAUUUUGAGUAACUAGAAAUACUCGUCUUCUAAAAAUCACUAUACAAGAAGAGAUGCUUUUCUGGGAUAAUUUUAUCUCUUUAUUUUUAUAUUGGCUAUAGCAGAAACUGUCUUCUUUUUCUUCAACAGCAUGUUUUCCACUGGACAGAUCACAUACGACUUCACCUCACAGGUGCUGCUCACUCUUGCUUUGUUCCAGUAAAACAUGUACUCAACUUUACGUAUAUAUACUCCCUGUGAAUUAACAUCAACAGAUAAUAAACUAUU